ACCAUGGCUGUAGACUGUUAC
rnacentral:miRNA from 1 species